GUUAGGAAUAUUGGACAAUGGGCGCAAGCCUGAUCCAGCCAUGCCGCGUGAGUGAUGAAGGCCUUCGGGUUGUAAAGCUCUUUAGCCGAUGAUUAUAAUGACUGUAGUCGGAAAAUAAGCCCCGGCUAACUUCGUGCCAGCAGCCGCGGUAAUACGAAGGGGGCGAGCGUUAUUCGGAAUCACUGGGCGUAAAGCGUGCGUAGGCGGUUUUGUAAGUUAGGAGUGAAAGCCCAGGGCUCAACCCUGGAAUUGCUCUUAAAACUACAAGGCUAGAAUGUCGGAGAGGAUAGCGGAAUUUCCAGUGUAGCAGUGAAAUGCGUAGAUAUUGGAAGGAACACCAGUGGCGUAAGCGGCUAUCUGGACGACUAUUGACGCUGAGGCACGAAAGCGUGGGGAUCAAACAGGAUUAGAAACCCUUGUAGUCC
rnacentral:rRNA from 1 species